rnacentral:misc_RNA from 1 species
CAACCCUCGGGCCCGUCCCGGUGUUGGGGUCCUGCUGUAACCUGCAGGCCCCGAAUGACAGUGGCGGAACCGCCGAACUCUCAGCGUAGUAAUUUUUCUCGUUGGGGACGACAGCGGUCGCUUGCCGUUAAACAACCACUAUUUUUAACU